GACGAACGCUGGCGGCGUGCUUAACACAUGCAAGUCGAACGGGCCUUGUCCCCUUUUUUUUGGGGGUGGGGUUAGUGGCGAACGGGUGAGUAACACGUGAGUAACCUGCCCCUCACUUCUGGAUAACCGCUUGAAAGGGUGGCUAAUACGGGGUGUUCUGGCCUGCUCGCAUGGGUGGGUUUGGAAAGAUUCGACCGGUUUGGUUGUUUUGGUGGGGGAUGGGCUCGCGGCCUAUCAGCUUGUUGGUGGGGUGAUGGCCUGCCAAGGCUUUGACGGGUAGCCGGCCUGAGAGGGUGGGCGGUCACACUGGGACUGAGACACGGCCCAGACUCCUACGGGAGGCAGCAGUGGGGAAUAUGGCACAAUGGGCGCAAGCCUGAUGCAGCGACGCCGCGUGAGGGAUGGAGGCCUUCGGGUUGUGAACCUCUUUCGCCAGUGAAGAAGGUCCUGCUCUUUGUGGUGGGGUUGACGGUAGCUGGGUUAAUGAAGCGCCGGCUAACUACGUG
rnacentral:rRNA from 1 species